ACACGAGAAAGGAGGUGGUCCUAAGUUGAACAGCUACAGGACUCGUGAGGUGACUGUCCGCUGACAGUCAGCACAUGGACCACUCCAGUGGCGUGUGUCUGUCGGUGAAUACCAGGCAGUCACCGGCCCCCUGACGCUCCCGAGAGCCGGUCCGACUCGGGCCGUGAACGGCUGACGACGUUCGCGGAGUCGCGUCGGGGGUCUUCUCAU
rfam:Saccharomonospora marina XMT15 chromosome, whole genome shotgun sequence.